CAGUCAUGCUAGUGGGGGAAUCUACUUGAUGAUGUGUGAGUUCUCUCGCAUACUUUCCGGUGUACUUCCUUACUUGGCAGGUUAGCAUCAAUUUCGAUUAUCAUAAAAAAUUUGAAGGAAUGUGACUUUCCUUUGGGAAAGUGUCAUAGACCUCGAUCUAUGUGGUGACCGGGAUUGAGAUUUGCAGCGGAUAUCCUAGUGGCUUGUCACCUGGCUUCUG
rnacentral:rRNA from 1 species